AUUGAACGCUGGCGGCAUGCCUUACACAUGCAAGUCGAACGGUAACAGGUCUUCGGAUGCUGACGAGUGGCGAACGGGUGAGUAAUACAUCGGAGCGUGCCUAGUAGUGGGGGAUAACUACUCGAAAGAGUGGCUAAUACCGCAUGAGAUCUACGGAUGAAAGCAGGGGAUCGCAAGACCUUGUGCUACUAGAGCGGCCGAUGGCAGAUUAGGUAGUUGGUGGGAUAAAAGCUUACCAAGCCAACGAUCUGUAGCUGGUCUGAGAGGACGAUCAGCCACACUGGGACUGAGACACGGCCCAGACUCCUACGGGAGGCAGCAGUGGGGAAUUUUGGACAAUGGGCGAAAGCCUGAUCCAGCAAUGCCGCGUGCAGGAUGAAGGCCUUCGGGUUGUAAACUGCUUUUGUACGGAACGAAAAGCCCCGGGUUAAUACCCUGGGGUCAUGACGGUACCGUAAGAAUAAGCACCGGCUAACUACGUGCCAGCCGCCGCAGUAA
rnacentral:rRNA from 1 species